rnacentral:tRNA from 1 species
GGGGAUUUAGCUCAGUGGUAGAGCGCUUGCCUAGCAAGCGCGGGCCCUGGGUUCGGUCCCCAGCUCCA